CUUAGCACAGUUAUGGAAUAGUUAUGUUAUAUUUGAGUUUCAGCCAUGUUUUUCGUUCUUUUUUGUUACCUCUUCACUUUCCUAAUUCUCAUGCAUCGCUUAGCAGUCUGAUUGCUACAUCCAGGAAAGCAAGCUGAUUAUACAUCAUUCUUUCCAGGAACGCUCCCCAGAAAUCCCAGGACAAAAUGAGAUGCAGACACAAGGGAACAAGCUUCACUGCUAUCUAUCAGCUCGGAUAAGGAAAAGCUCCUUUCAGCCUGACACUGACAGCUUAAUGAAAUGGAGGCAAAGAUGCAUGCAGAUGAGAGAAAGACUGGUGCUGAAGACGCAGAGAUGAAAGACUCUUCAUUCUUUCCUAAAGAAAAUUACAUUUGAUGGAAAAGACAUUAAAAUGAGAAUUUGAAAUUUACGCUUUGAGGAAAUACCUGUUUUCAUGGGCUGGUGAGUAGAACACGCCCUUUUGAAGGACAGACCAAUGCCAUCUGGUGAGAGAUUCUGUACCUAAUCAUGAGAUUAGUUAGUGCCAUGUCCCAGAGAGAAUA
rnacentral:lncRNA from 1 species